AGCAACAAUUCCACAUAUCAAGGACAAGAGAAAACAUUAUUAACUAAACAAAAAUAAACCCAUGAUCCUAUCUACAUUUUUUUCAUACUUGUUUAGCAACACAGACUGACUAAAGCCCUUCUUAUUCCAUAAACUAUCUCUGUCAAGCAACCCACUCUGGUGUUAAAAAUCUGACGGGAUAGGACAUAUCCCACCAACCACACACUUAUAGGCAUAACAGGUCUGAAAAAUAUGACAUGCUACAAAAGUGGGAUUACCAGAUGGUUUUCCUGCUGUUUAAUCUGUCUCACCCCUUUCCAUGAUGCAGUUCAUUUCUUAGGACAUAAAUGUUAAGUCAUUUCUCUCCCUUAUUUGGCCCGUCUUCAGCAGGGUGUGUAAACUUGGUGUCUGAUUUAAGGUGUACAAGUUGUCCUAUAGUCUUAAUGAUUCUGAAUCAUACAUUUAACAUUAGCUACGUGCUUGAGGGUAUGUCUUUGUGAACAUGUUACGGUGAGGCAGUCAAGGGUGUGGAUUUACAGGACACCAGCUCCUCUGCAGUAACUGCACGGAUGAGCACCCUUUGCCUGCUGGUAAAUGCUAAGUGAGUAGCCCAGAAAGAGGCACAGCGAAGAUCAUCUCUGCUUCCAUACAGUCAGCUUUUGCUGCCAUUUUCUGCAUACUUUUGCCAGUCUGUCCCCAGCAGUAACACUAUGCCCAGAAGUAAACACAGAGGCACUACCACCUCCCUCACCUCAAAAGGGAUCCACCUCCAGACACAGCUCAAAGCAUACUUUUUUUAAUACACCCCCAUAAUCUUGCAAACUGAAGUCAUUUUUAAGAGGCCUUGUCUCCCUUGCUGCAUUACAGCUUCAGCCCUUCUUUCAGGUAGCAUAUAUUCUUUGCAGAGUCUUCAACAUUUAUCACAGGGGACUUAGGAAUGCCCACCAGAUAAUCAUCUCCAUCACUUGGUAACACUGCUGCUGGUCUGUUGUAUAACUCUUGUAUAGGGACUCUUGACUAAAAGCUGUCACUUCAUUUCGGGGAACCAGGCGGCUUUAAACUCAGCUGCAAGAAAGCCCAGAUGCUACUACAUCUCUGGGGGAAACUUAUCUAUUCAAAAAGGGGGAAACUUCUGAACAAUAACAACAAAAUAGAGCUUAAAGAUGCUGCUGCUGUUCUACUGCUGGUGCUGAGGUCAGUACUUUGGAGAGUGGGUGCCAGUCAGAAGCUGCAACACUCUCCUCAAAAGACUGACAUUUCUGAAAAGCUCUGCUUCUCCCCAGAUCUCAGUAACUUUAAAUGGUCUGCCAGUUAAAUCAGAACAGCCUGGUAUAAAGCCUCCCAUUUUCUGACAACCUUUAUGUUCUCUUGGCUCCUACAAGGCCCUAAAGCUGAUCGUGUAUAAUCCUGAACUGAAUGUAAAAUAAAUAUGAAAACCUGUCAUGAUUUUACCGUUUUCCAAAGGAUAUUUCACUAAAUAAAAAGAGCU